rnacentral:rRNA from 1 species
CCUACGGGAGGCUGCAGUGGGGAAUAUUGGACAAUGGGCGCAACCCUGAUGCAGCAACGCCGCGUGAAGGAAGACGGCUUUCGGUUUGUAAACUUCUAUUGUCAGGGACGAAGAUGUCGGCGGUACCUGACGAAUAAGCCACGGCUAACUACGUGCCAGCCGCCGCGGUAAUACGUAGGGGGCAAGCGUUCUCCGGAUGUACUGGGUGUAAAGGGCGUGUAGGCGGGGAAGCAAGUCUGAUGUGAAAACCACGGGCUCAACCCGUGGACUGCAUUUGAAACUGUUGUACUUGAGUGUUGGAGAGGCAAGCGGAAUUCCGAGUGUAGCGGUGAAAUGCGUAGAUAUUCGGAGGAACACCAGUGGCGAAGGCGGAUUGCUGGACAGUAACUGACGCUGAGGCGCGAAAGCGUGGGGAGCAAACAGGAUUAGAUACCCCUGUAGUC